rnacentral:rRNA from 1 species
CCUACGGGAGGCAGCAGUGAGGAAUAUUGGUCAAUGGCCGCAGGGCUGAACCAGCCAAGUCGCGUGAGGGCUGACGGUCCUAUGGAUUGUAAACCUCUUUUGUCAGGGAGCAAAGGGCGCCACGUGUGGCGCUUUGCGAGUACCUGAAGAAAAAGCAUCGGCUAACUCCGUGCCAGCAGCCGCGGUAAUACGGAGGAUGCGAGCGUUAUCCGGAUUUAUUGGGUUUAAAGGGUGCGCAGGCGGAAUGUCAAGUCAGCGGUAAAAUUUCGGGGCUCAACCCCGUCGUGCCGUUGAAACUGGCGUUCUUGAGUGAGCGAGAAGUAUGCGGAAUGCGUGGUGUAGCGGUGAAAUGCAUAGAUAUCACGCAGAACUCCGAUUGCGAAGGCAGCAUACCGGCGCUCAACUGACGCUCAUGCACGAAAGCGUGGGUAUCGAACAGGAUUAGAUACCCCAGUAGUC